GAAGCCGGGACACCGGCAGUGAAGAGGCCCUCCCCGCGGCUGAGUAAACCGAGGCACAGGGCAGGCCAGCCUUAGCUCUCCCCGUUUCUGUCCCCAGGGGAAGGGAGCCAGUGGCCUGUCAUGGGUGCACCCAAGCUGGGAGGGCAAGGUUGGGGGUGCACCCAGCCUUCCCUUCGCACGUGCUGGCACUGCUGCCCCGCCCCCAUGGGCACCAGCUGGCACCCUGGCAGAGUAGUCCUGGCUUGAGUGGGCCCCGGGGACCCUGCUGUGUUUCCAGGAGGUCGUCAGGCCCUGGGCACAGGGAGGGGCUGGCUGCCGCCCAGGGCCACUGGCUGGGGGGGGGGGGUGUGUGAGGCAGAGGGAAUGGGUUGUUGUGCCCCAGCCACGGGCUGGGGGAUGCUGUAGGUGGGUGUGCUGUGGAGGUGAGGACCCCAGCCUGCUUGGAGCCGGGAUCCCGAUGCCAGGGCCCCUGGCCUGGGUCCGGUCACCCUGGGUGGCACAGAGCCUAAGGAGGGCCUGGUCAGUGCUCUCGUGGGGCCUGGUGAUGGAAACACCCACGGGCAGGCCACAAGCGCAGAGCCGCAAAGGGUCCCAGACCUUACACCCCCCGGGACAGGUUCCAUUCCCGUCCUCGCCUGUGCAUGGCAGAGUGACAGCUCAAGGUCACGGAGGCAGGUGCAGUGGAGCAGGCUGGGAGCCGGGACAGUGCAGCUCUGGCAUCCACAGCUCCCGCUGCCAGCCGGGCCCUGUGGGAGGAACUUGAUGGGCAGGGCCCGGGCAGCCUCACCACAAGCCAGGGGGCAGCCUGCAGAGUGCUCCGAGGCCCAGAGAGGUUGACCAAGUCGCCCUGGGAGUUUGUGGAUGAGGCAGAGGCUCCCCAGGGGCCCACAGGGCAGCCGGGCUGCAAGGGGGAUGGGAGAGAGACGGAAGCGGGGUGGGGGGCUCCCAGGUGGCUUCUUGAGAAGCAGGCAGUGGGGACAGGGCUGUCAGAGCAGGGCAGGGGUGGGGGAGGACAGAACGGGGAAGGCAGCCAGGACCCCGUGAUGACCCAGGAGUCCCGACCUCAGUUCUGUCCUCAGCACCCCCGCCUGCGCCCCAUUUUCCCUGGCACUGCCCUGGCUUCUCCACCCCAGGGGCCGCAGUCUGGGCUCGCAUAGCAGUGGACGUUAAGGGUGCUCGGUGCUCAUGGCCGCAGAGGCGGGGUCAAGGUGACGUCCGGGGCCGGGGGAGCCAGGGACCACAGUGGCAGCAGACCCUUCAUGCCCGGUGCCUUUGGAACUCGCAGAUGCAAGAGGAACACGCUUCCUGGCUGCUGUCCCCAUGGCCCCCAUGCCCUUGUGGCCUCUUAUAUGCUAGGAGGAGCCCGCCAAGGGCCUCUUCUUCAGGGAAUGGAAGCAGCCGACUGGACCGGGAUUGGAGUGUGUGUGUGAGGCUCGUGGAGGGAGCGGGAGGCGGAGAACUCCAGCAGCUGGCAUUCUUCGGGGGCAGUCUCAGCUGGCACCACGGCGGGCACCAGGCAGUGGCCGGAGCAGGGGGUCUCCAGGUGCCCGGGGCGGAGGCUGGCCCCGCUGUGGGCCAGUUUGCUCUCUUCCCGACAACAUCCAGGCAUCCACCUGGGGGCGCCAGAGGGCAAGAUACGGCUGUACUCGUUUCUGCCACCAGAGGGCGGCGUCGGCACAUUGAUUUCUGCUGCUCCUGCGAUCUGUCCAAACCCGGCUGGGCGAGGCGGAACCCAGGUCGAGGGCUGAGCCCGGAGAGGCCGUCCUGGCGCGGAGUCCUGACCGCGGCGUGGGCAGUGGGAAGGAAUCAGGGCCCUGCAGUCGGACGGCGUGUUCGGGUCUGCGUUGCGGCGCUGCACCUGUGAUGCCAGCAUCCCGUAUCCACUGUGGGUUUGAGUCCCGGCUGCUCCACUUCCAAUCCUGCUCCCUGCUGAUGUGCCAGGGAAGGCAGCAGAGGAUGGCCCAAGUGUUUGUGCCCCUGCACCCACAUGGGAGACCCCAGAGGAGUUCCUGGAUCCUGGCUUCUGCUUGGCCCAGCCCCAAUUGCUGUGGCCCACUGGGGGAAUGAACCAGGAGAUGGAAGAUCUCUCUCUGUCUCUCUCUGUCUUUCUCUGACUGCUUUGCAAGUAAAAAUAAAUGACUCUUUUUCAUUUUUUAAGACUGCAUUUGAACCCAGACUCUGGGCAAAAACUUCUGAACCUUCUUAAAAAACUCAUUUGUAGGCCGGCGCCGCGGCUCAGUAGGCUAAUCCUCCGCCUAGCGGCGCCGGCACACCGGGUUCUAGUCCCGGUCGGGGCACCGGAUUCUGUCCCGGUUGCCCCUCUUCCAGGCCAGCCCUCUGCUGUGGCCAGGGAGUGCAGUGGAGGAUGGCCCAGGUGCUUGGGCCCUGCACCCCAUGGGAGACCAGGAAAAGCACCUGGCUCCUGGCUCCUGCCAUCGGAUCAGCGCGGUGCGCCGGCCGCAGCGCGCUGGCCGCGGCGGCCAUUGGAGGGUGAACCAACGGCAAAGGAAAGACCUUUCUCUCUGUCUCUCUCUCUCUCACUGUCCACUCUGCCUGUCAAAAAAUAAAAAAUAAAAAAAAAAACUCAUUUGUAAAACGUACUCAUGUCAAAAGCAGAGACAUACACAGAACGAAAGCUUCUCCACCUGCUGGUGCAGCCCCAGAUGGCAGCAGUAACGGGGGCUGGGCCUAGGCCAGGCUGAGGCCAGGGCCAGGGGCUCCAUCGGAGUCUCCCACGGGGACCCAAGCAGUGGGCUGUCCCCCGCUGCCCCUAGGUGUGCAUUAGUGAGCAGCUGGAGCUGGGAGCAGAGUGGGGGCUGGAAUCCAGGUGGAGGGUCUGUGUUCUGAGCCCCGGCAGAUGCCAGCCCCGCUGCAGGUCCUCACUUGCCUCAUCUGUGAAUGGAGGACGAGGCCCCGGCCCAGGGCCCAGCCGGCCGAAGUGCUCGGUCCACGCCAGUGCCGAUGAUGACGGCACUCUUCACCAGCUCCUCCAUCAGCCUCUCUUCCCCACACGCUGGGGCCCACUGUGUUCCAGGCACUGUGGCAGGUGCGUGAUGAUGUAGAGACAUGGUGGGAGGGACGCGUCUCAAAGUGUGCUGAGUUAGGGUGCACACACCGAGGAGACAGGGAGGUGCCCAAGAGAACAUUGUGGGGUGACGAAACUUUCUAUAUUUGAGUUGUGAUGACAGUCACA